rnacentral:misc_RNA from 1 species
AAGUCGUAACAAGGUUUCCGUAGGUGAACCUGCGGAAGGAUCAUUAACACUUUUUUCGGUGCUUUUGAAAAUUGGAAUCAAAUUCAAUUUUCGAGCCCAAUCCAAAACUUACCCAAACUUUUUUUAAAGUGCUGGUGUUUUGCGAUCAAAAGCAAAACCUCUUUUUUUUCUAUUUAUCAAUUCAAAAACCCCAAAUCUUUCUUUGCAAAUGCAAUUGAACAAAAUUUAAACCCAAACAACUCUUAGCAACGGAUAUCUUGGCUCUC